rnacentral:lncRNA from 1 species
CUAUAAAAUUAAUUAUAAUUUUUAAACCAUCCAAACUAGAUAAUCAAUUGAUCAAUGUAUAUAAUUCUCUCAUCCGUACAAAAAUAUAUAAAUGUAUAGAUAUCAUAGAAUAUGUACAUUAAUCAAAAGAUAGGUCUAUGGUUCGAUGUAUGGUCUAAAACCCAUUAUAAAGUGAUACAACCUAUAACCCACCGGCACGAUCUAGAACACGAUAGCCUAGAAC